UACGUAGGUGGCAAGCGUUGUCCGGAUUUACUGGGCGUAAAGAGCGCGCAGGCGGUCGUUUAAGUCGAAUGUGAAAGCCCCCGGCUCAACUGGGGAGGGUCAUUCGAUACUGAUCGACUUGAAGGCAGGAGAGGGAAGUGGAAUUCCGGGUGUAGUGGUGAAAUGCGUAGAUAUCCGGAGGAACACCAGUGGCGAAGGCGACUUCCUGGCCUGUUCUUGACGCUGAGGCGCGAAAGCGUGGGGAGCGAACAGG
rnacentral:rRNA from 1 species